rnacentral:rRNA from 1 species
UGGAGAAGAGACAGAUGCAGCAACGCCGCGGGAGUGAUGAAGGCCUUCGGGUCGUAAAACUCUGGCCUCAAGGAAGAUAAUGACGGUACUUGAGGAGGAAGCCCCGGCUAACUACGUGCCAGCAGCCGCGGUAAGACGUAGGGGGCUAGCGUUAUCCGGAUUUACUGGGCGUAAAGGGGGCGUAGGCGGUCUUUCAAGUCAGGAGUGAAA